rnacentral:lncRNA from 1 species
GUUGAGGUUGGUGUAGGUGGGGCGUUCAAUGUCAAGGGAGCGCCUGCAGAUGUCGUAGAUGGCUUCGUUGUCAAGAAGCACCGCAACGUCAGUGUGCUCAAGGAGUGAGUGAGUCGACAGGACACUGUUGUAGGGCUCAACAACAGAGGUAGAGACCUGGGGAGAGGGGUAAACAGUGAAGCCAAGCUUGGACUUCUUGCCAUAGUCAACAGACAGACGCUCAAGGAGGAGAGAGCCCAGGCCUGAGCCAGUGCCUCCACCAACGGCAUUGAAUACAAGGAAGCCUUGAAGACCAGUGCAGUUGUCAGCAAGCUUCCUGAUGCGGUCAAGGCAGAGAUCAACAAUUUCCUUGCCAACUGCAAAUAUACAAUCAUAUAUUAGUAUUUGAAAAAAAACAUAUGAAUUCAUAGAGACAGCAAAGCUUACAAUUAUAUAUCAGAGAUAGAUAGAAUUGAGAAAUUACUCGUAUAGUGGCCACGGGCAAAGUUGUUGGCAGCAUCCUCUUUGCCACUGAUAAGCUGCUCUGGGUGGAAAAGCUGGCGGUAAGUUCCAGUCCUCACUUCAUCAAUCACAGUGGGUUCCAGAUCAACAAACACAGCACGAGGGACAUGCUUUCCAGCUCCAGUCUCACUGAAAAAGGUGUUGAAUGCAUCAUCACCUCCACCAAUGGUUUUGUCACCGGGCAUUUGGCCAUCAGGCUGCAAGAAAGCAGAGAGUUAUAAAAAAAGGUAUGAAGAAAAAGCAUACAGCUAAGCCAUCCAGACAAUCAUCCAAGGAAGAAGGAUAUAAUAAAUCUUUGCACGAACGAAAAGGACUAAUAUUAAAAAGUCAUUCUAAUGAUAAAAGCCAAACAAGGAAGUGAGACCGCAGAAAGGAGGACACAGUUACAGAAUUAGGUAUCAGCAAGGCAGACUCUAGAUUCCUAAUCCUAUAUUGUAGUCCUACAAUGGUCACCAACCAGGCUGAACAAUAAAAUAGACACAUCAUGAUUACACGAAAGUCAAAUACGACAUAUAACCAAUUAUUGGAAACAUAUACAAAUAAUAUUAGACAACUAACAGAGGAAGGUAAAAUCAAAAAUCACUCAGAAAAUCUAGAACUGACAAAAUUAUAAUCAUAAACAAGGCAUUCGAUAUAGAAAGAACAGAGAAAUCCAUUUAUGAGGGGAGAUGAUUUAGAGAAUGAAAGCAUAGAUCAUUGGCACAUAACAAGGCAUUCGAUAUAGAAAGAACAGAGAAAAAUCCAUUUAUGAGGGGAGAUGAUUUAGAGAAUGAAAGCAUAGAUCAUUGGCACAUAAAACGCCCCAGUCUACAGAGCUCAGAUAUAUGACAAAACAUCCCGUCAAUAAGUGAGCGGGCAACUUAAAUAGAAAGAUCCAUCAAAUUAGAUCACGCCGAAGCAAGAACAUAAAGAGAUUUGGCGGUAUCAAAUACAAAAGAGGGCACCUAUUAUCAAAUGAACCAGGAAGAACAACGUCAAAAGAGUGGAUCUAAAGUGGUGGUACUCAUUUUGCGCAGUCGAAUCAAAAUAACACGAGCAAGCACUGGAUCCACAGUGUCAUGUAAGGAAAUCGACAGAAACCAUAGAAGGAGAAUCAAAGGAUUCAGAUCAAGCAAAACUAUAUAAGAACGAUAAAAGGCGGAUAUAGCCAAUAGGGAACUCGUGCAUUUCAAAAACAAAAAGAAGGAAGACAUCAUAUGAAAUGCCUAUAUGAAAGAACACCCAUCAAGGCGACUCGAAAAACCUAGAUCUGAGAUCUAUAACGACUAUCUUAACCAUUAACAUCACCGAAACGCACAUUACCAACAGAUAUCCAACUGCUCCGUCAUAAAAAUCCUAGAUCUGAUCAAUAAUCUACCAGGAAUCAGAGGAACUAUUAUUCGACGAAAAAGAUCGAUCCAUUGCUCAACCCAAAAACCCAAAGCUCCAGAAAUGAGCAUAUAAACACGGAAAAGAAAC